rnacentral:rRNA from 1 species
AGGGGGUUUGGAUCAUGGCUCAGAUCGAACGCUGGCGGCGUGGUUAAGGCAUGCAAGUCGAGCGAACCUCUUUGCGGGGUAACCCAAGAUUAGGUUAGCGGCGAACGGGUGAGUAAUGCAUGGAUAACGUACCCCGAACUCAGGGAUAGCGGCGGGACUUCGGUUCCUUUGCGAAAGUGCCGGUAAUACCUGAUGACCCCGUAGUGUCGCAUGGCACAGCGGGCAAAGCUCCGGCGGUUUGGGAUCGGCCCAUGUCUUAUCAGCUUGUUGGUGAGGUAACGGCCCACCAAGGCUAUGACGGGUACCGGGCGUGAGAGCGUGACCCGGCACAUCGGAACUGAGAUACGGUCCGGACACCUACGGGUGGCUGCAGCAACGAAUAUUCCCCAAUGGACGCAAGUCUGAGGGAGCGACGCCGCGUGCAGGAAGAAGUUCUUCGGGAUGUAAACUGCUGUCAGGGGCAAGGAAUCAAUGACCAGCCCCACAGGAAGCACUGGCUAACUCCGUGCCAGCAGCCGCGGUAAUACGGAGAGUGCAAGCGUUGAUCGGAAUUAUUGGGCUUAAAGCGCGUGUAGGCGGGACGUCAGGUGUCUAGUGAAAGCCCCGGGCUCAACCCGGGAAUGGCUGGGCAAACCGGCGUUCUUGAGGCAGGUAGAGGUGACUGGAACGACUGGUGGAGCGGUGAAAUGCGUAGAUAUCAGUUGGAACGCCUGAGCGAAAGCGAGUCACUGGGCCUGUCCUGACGCUCAGACGCGAAAGCGU